rnacentral:rRNA from 4 species
UUGAACGCUGGCGGCAGGCCUAACACAUGCAAGUCGAACGGUAACAGGAAGCAGCUUGCUGCUUUGCUGACGAGUGGCGGACGGGUGAGUAAUGUCUGGGAAACUGCCUGAUGGAGGGGGAUAACUACUGGAAACGGUGGCUAAUACCGCAUAACGUCGCAAGACCAAAGAGGGGGACCUUCGGGCCUCUUGCCAUCAGAUGUGCCCAGAUGGGAUUAGCUUGUUGGUGAGGUAACGGCUCACCAAGGCGACGAUCCCUAGCUGGUCUGAGAGGAUGACCAGCCACACUGGAACUGAGACACGGUCCAGACUCCUACGGGAGGCAGCAGUGGGGAAUAUUGCACAAUGGGCGCAAGCCUGAUGCAGCCAUGCCGCGUGUAUGAAGAAGGCCUUCGGGUUGUAAAGUACUUUCAGCGGGGAGGAAGGUGUUGUGGUUAAUAACCGCAGCAAUUGACGUUACCCGCAGAAGAAGCACCGGCUAACUCCGUGCCAGCAGCCGCGGUAAUACGGAGGGUGCAAGCGUUAAUCGGAAUUACUGGGCGUAAAGCGCACGCAGGCGGUCUGUCAAGUCGGAUGUGAAAUCCCCGGGCUCAACCUGGGAACUGCAUUCGAAACUGGCAGGCUUGAGUCUUGUAGAGGGGGGUAGAAUUCCAGGUGUAGCGGUGAAAUGCGUAGAGAUCUGGAGGAAUACCGGUGGCGAAGGCGGCCCCCUGGACAAAGACUGACGCUCAGGUGCGAAAGCGUGGGGAGCAAACAGGAUUAGAUACCCUGGUAGUCCACGCCGUAAACGAUGUCUACUUGGAGGUUGUGCCCUUGAGGCGUGGCUUCCGGAGCUAACGCGUUAAGUAGACCGCCUGGGGAGUACGGCCGCAAGGUUAAAACUCAAAUGAAUUGACGGGGGCCCGCACAAGCGGUGGAGCAUGUGGUUUAAUUCGAUGCAACGCGAAGAACCUUACCUGGUCUUGACAUCCACAGAAGAAUCCAGAGAUGGAUUUGUGCCUUCGGGAACUGUGAGACAGGUGCUGCAUGGCUGUCGUCAGCUCGUGUUGUGAAAUGUUGGGUUAAGUCCCGCAACGAGCGCAACCCUUAUCCUUUGUUGCCAGCGGUUAGGCCGGGAACUCAAAGGAGACUGCCAGUGAUAAACUGGAGGAAGGUGGGGAUGACGUCAAGUCAUCAUGGCCCUUACGACCAGGGCUACACACGUGCUACAAUGGCGCAUACAAAGAGAAGCGACCUCGCGAGAGCAAGCGGACCUCAUAAAGUGCGUCGUAGUCCGGAUUGGAGUCUGCAACUCGACUCCAUGAAGUCGGAAUCGCUAGUAAUCGUGGAUCAGAAUGCCACGGUGAAUACGUUCCCGGGCCUUGUACACACCGCCCGUCACACCAUGGGAGUGGGUUGCAAAAGAAGUAGGUAGCUUAACCUUCGGGAGGGCGCUUACCACUUUGUGAUUCAUGACUGGGGUGAAGUCGUAACAAGGUAACCGUAGGGGAACCUGCGGUUGGA